rnacentral:rRNA from 1 species
AGGAAACAGAGCCCCACUAUGAUUAUCAAACUUGACUUCUCCAAAGCCUUCGACUCGGUUUGUUGGUCCUCUCUUCUUGGUAUUCUCUAAGCCAGGGGGUUUUCGACCAAAUGGAUUAGCUGGAUUAAUACACUACUCAGCUCCCGCAAAACAACUGUUCUUUUAAACGGCGUUCCAGGACCCUGGAUCCAGUGCAAAAAUGGCCUAAGACAAGGAGACCCCCUCUCUCCUUUCCUUUUCUUAAUUGUUGCAGAUGUCCUCCAACGAAUGAUCAUUGAGGCUUCUAACCAAACCUAA